rfam:Pseudoalteromonas porphyrae strain TCD-SED14 scaffold_28, whole genome shotgun sequence.
CUAUAAGCUCUCUGAAGGGCCGUUGGAGACUACAACGUUGAUAGGCAAGGUGUGGAAGCAUAGUGAUAUGUUAAGCUAACUUGUACUAAUUACCCGUGAGGCUUAACCAU